UACGUAGGGGGCGAGCGUUGUCCGGAAUCAUUGGGCGUAAAGCGCGUGUAGGCGGCCCGGUAAGUCCGCUGUGAAAGUCCAGGGCUCAACCCUGGGAUGCCGGUGGAUACUGUCGGGCUCGAGUCCGGAAGAGGCGAGUGGAAUUCCUGGUGUAGCGGUGAAAUGCGCAGAUAUCAGGAGGAACACCAAUGGCGAAGGCAGCUCGCUGGGACGUGAACUGACGCUGGAGACGCGAAAGCGUGGGGAGCAAACAGG
rnacentral:rRNA from 1 species